rnacentral:rRNA from 1 species
GAUGAACGCUGGCGGCGUGCCUAAUACAUGCAAGUCGAGCGAAUGGAUUGAGAGCUUGCUCUUAUGAAGUUAGCGGCGGACGGGUGAGUAACACGUGGGUAACCUGCCCAUAAGACUGGGAUAACUCCGGGAAACCGGGGCUAAUGCCGGAUAACAUUUUGAACCGCAGGGUUCGAAAUUGAAAGGCGGCUUCGGCUGUCACUUAGGGAUUGACCCGCGUCGCAUUAGCUAGUUGGUGAGGUAACGGCUCACCAAGGCAACGAUGCGUAGCCGACCUGAGAGGGUGAUCGGCCACACUGGGACUGAGACACGGCCCAGACUCCUACGGGAGGCAGCAGUAGGGAAUCUUCCGCAAUGGACGAAAGUCUGACGGAGCAACGCCGCGUGAGUGAUGAAGGCUUUCGGGUCGUAAAACUCUGUUGUUAGGGAAGAACAAGUGCUAGUUGAAUAAGCUGGCACCUUGACGGUACCUAACCAGAAAGCCACGGCUAACUACGUGCCAGCCGCCGCCGUAA